UGAGCAGACGUGGCGUCGAGACUUUUGCCGUUGUAAUAAAAGAAAAUACGAGAUUGCAAAAUAUGAUAUACAAAGCUCGGCUAUACCAACAGGUUAAGCAAUAAACUGUACAAUAGUGAGACAGUUCAUAAAAGAAGUUUUGAGGACACUCUAUCUGUAGAUUAUAAAGCUCGUGCCAGAAAAACGUUUAGCUUAGCCUAGCCUAGCCUACGUUUGGAAACAAGAAACAGCUGUUCUGACUCUGUCAAGAGAAUACCCCAUUUCCUCUGCUGUCUUCAAAAGAAGAGGACACUGUUGCUCCAAAAACUAACACCAGACCCCUGCAGCCAUGUUGGGAUCAACAGGCCUCGGUCUCCUGCUCAGUCGUAAUGUUUUGAGGAGGGGAGCCAAGCAUCAACAUCACAUUACCAGACGCAGACACAGAGAACAUGCAGAAAAUGCAUAUCAUCGUGUCGAUGGGAGUCAUUAGAAGGGUCGGGCUCUCCUCUCAACUGAUGAGGAGCGGCUGCAGCAGGAGGGACCAGGGGAUCAGGGGGAGGACAGACUUUCGGCAUGCUAACAACCACAACCAUCAUCAUCAUCGCCAUUGCCACGCGUACCUGCUGCUCUGGGGAGACGCUGCCUCCUGUCAAACAGCAGAAGGACCCCGGUUUCGCCUGCAAUGCGAAGUUGCGUGUGUGUGUGUGUGUGUGUGUGUAAAUGUAUGUGACUGCAUCUGCUUGUGUACUUCUGUGUGUGUGUAUGCAUCCUGCUGUCUACAUAAUUCCCUCCCAGUCUCGGCUCACUCUUUGGCUUUGACUGUUCACUCCUCUUUCUCUUCCUUCACCUCACCCCUUGGUCUCCCUCCUCCUCCUCCAUCUCUCACUGUAUCACUCCAUAUAUUCAUGAAUUUCCUGUUUAUCAUGAAAACUUAUGCAUGAAAAUAGAGGGUGGGAUGGGGAAAAAAACAAAAACAACAACAACAAAAAAAGAAAAAAAAAACAAACAGAGUGAGUGUUGAUGUGGGGGGUGGGGGGUGGGAUGGUUUGUCUUGUCUGGGUGCAGCACUGCACCGGCAGCCUGGUCCUCAGGGGACGUAUGGAAGGAGACCCUGAUUCCAUCUCCCUUUUCAUUUCAUUUCCUUUCUUUCUCUCUUUCCUUCCAUCCACCCACCUACCGCCUUCAUUCUCUUCUUCCUAACAUUCCCCCCACCCCCUGCUUUAGCCCCCACCCCACCUACCCACUGCCUUUCUCUUCUCUUCUCCCGUCUCCCCUUCACAGUGUCAAAGCCAGUUACAGGCAGAGGAGCUCUCCUUCUUAAAUAAUUCACAAGUUGAUUAAUAGACUCACAAGGGUAUAAUUAGGCAGGGGAGAGACAGUGGCUAGUGUAACCAGUACAGUGCUUAGGGGAAUUAGAGAGCGGGGUUAUUGAGGAAAUGGAGAGUACCAGUAAAAAAAAAAAAGAAAAAAAGAGAGAGACAGAAAAGAAAAAAUAAAAAAAAUGUGCCGGCUCGGCUGCAGUGGUGGACUUGAGGAGGAGAUGAAGAGGCAGGGU